rnacentral:rRNA from 1 species
ACAUGCUGUGAGCUCGAUGAGUAGGGCGGGACACGUGGUAUCCUGUCUGAAUAUGGGGGGACCAUCCUCCAAGGCUAAAUACUCCUGACUGACCGAUAGUGAACCAGUACCGUGAGGGAAAGGCGAAAAGAACCCCGGCGAGGGGAGUGAAAAAGAACCUGAAACCGUGUACGUACAAGCAGUGGGAGCACGCUUAGGCGUGUGACUGCGUACCUUUUGUAUAAUGGGUCAGCGACUUAUAUUCUGUAGCAAGGUUAACCGAAUAGGGGAGCCGAAGGGAAACCGAGUCUUAACUGGGCGUUAAGUUGCAGGGUAUAGACCCGAAACCCGGUGAUCUAGCCAUGGGCAGGUUGAAGGUUGGGUAACACUAACUGGAGGACCGAACCGACUAAUGUUGAAAAAUUAGCGGAUGACUUGUGGCUGGGGGUGAAAGGCCAAUCAAACCGGGAGAUAGCUGGUUCUCCCCGAAAGCUAUUUAGGUAGCGCCUCGUGAAUUCAUCUCCGGGGGUAGAGCACUGUUUCGGCAAGGGGGUCAUCCCGACUUACCAACCCGAUGCAAACUGCGAAUACCGGAGAAUGUUAUCACGGGAGACACACGGCGGGUGCUAACGUCCGUCGUGAAGAGGGAAACAACCCAGACCGCCAGCUAAGGUCCCAAAGUCAUGGUUAAGUGGGAAACGAUGUGGGAAGGCCCAGACAGCCAGGAUGUUGGCUUAGAAGCAGCCAUCAUUUAAAGAAAGCGUAAUAGCUCACUGGUCGAGUCGGCCUGCGCGGAAGAUGUAACGGGGCUAAACCAUGCACCGAAGCUGCGGCAGCGACGCUGAUGCGUUGUUGGGUAGGGGAGCGUUCUGUAAGCCUGUGAAGGUGUGCUGUGAGGCAUGCUGGAGGUAUCAGAAGUGCGAAUGCUGACAUAAGUAACGAUAAAGCGGGUGAAAAGCCCGCUCGCCGGAAGACCAAGGGUUCCUGUCCAACGUUAAUCGGGGCAGGGUGAGUCGACCCCUAAGGCGAGGCCGAAAGGCGUAGUCGAUGGGAAACAGGUUAAUAUUCCUGUACUUGGUGUUACUGCGAAGGGGGGACGGAGAAGGCUAUGUUGGCCGGGCGACGGUUGUCCCGGUUUAAGCGUGUAGGCUGGUUUUCCAGGCAAAUCCGGAAAAUCAAGGCUGAGGCGUGAUGACGAGGCACUACGGUGCUGAAGCAACAAAUGCCCUGCUUCCAGGAAAAGCCUCUAAGCAUCAGGUAACAUCAAAUCGUACCCCAAACCGACACAGGUGGUCAGGUAGAGAAUACCAAGGCGCUUGAGAGAACUCGGGUGAAGGAACUAGGCAAAAUGGUGCCGUAACUUCGGGAGAAGGCACGCUGAUAUGUAGGUGAAGCGACUUGCUCGUGGAGCUGAAAUCAGUCGAAGAUACCAGCUGGCUGCAACUGUUUAUUAAAAACACAGCACUGUGCAAACACGAAAGUGGACGUAUACGGUGUGACGCCUGCCCGGUGCCGGAAGGUUAAUUGAUGGGGUCAGCGCAAGCGAAGCUCUUGAUCGAAGCCCCGGUAAACGGCGGCCGUAACUAUAACGGUCCUAAGGUAGCGAAAUUCCUUGUCGGGUAAGUUCCGACCUGCACGAAUGGCGUAAUGAUGGCCAGGCUGUCUCCACCCGAGACUCAGUGAAAUUGAACUCGCUGUGAAGAUGCAGUGUACCCGCGGCAAGACGGAAAGACCCCGUGAACCUUUACUAUAGCUUGACACUGAACAUUGAGCCUUGAUGUGUAGGAUAGGUGGGAGGCUUUGAAGUGUGGACGCCAGUCUGCAUGGAGCCGACCUUGAAAUACCACCCUUUAAUGUUUGAUGUUCUAACGUUGACCCGUAAUCCGGGUUGCGGACAGUGUCUGGUGGGUAGUUUGACUGGGGCGGUCUCCUCCUAAAGAGUAACGGAGGAGCACGAAGGUUGGCUAAUCCUGGUCGGACAUCAGGAGGUUAGUGCAAUGGCAUAAGCCAGCUUGACUGCGAGCGUGACGGCGCGAGCAGGUGCGAAAGCAGGUCAUAGUGAUCCGGUGGUUCUGAAUGGAAGGGCCAUCGCUCAACGGAUAAAAGGUACUCCGGGGAUAACAGGCUGAUACCGCCCAAGAGUUCAUAUCGACGGCGGUGUUUGGCACCUCGAUGUCGGCUCAUCACAUCCUGGGGCUGAAGUAGGUCCCAAGGGUAUGGCUGUUCGCCAUUUAAAGUGGUACGCGAGCUGGGUUUAGAACGUCGUGAGACAGUUCGGUCCCUAUCUGCCGUGGGCGCUGGAGAACUGAGGGG